UGAAAAGCAAAACGCGUAUGGACUUCCACCGUACAUUAAACAAUCAUUUCAAUUGGAUUGUUUGUCGCAAGAUCACUUGCGUCCCACACAAGUCAACAACAUUUAAUAAACAUCUUGUCUCAAACCUAAUUUGAAUUAGGCCUUGCCCACAAUCAGGAUUAUUUGCGGAAUGGAAGAUAUUAACGAUAUCGAGGUCGUCUGCCACUUCAUGCCAGCAAUUCCAGAAGAUACAAUGUUAGUCUACUUUACGCGAUGCCAGUCUGCCGUCGAUCUUAUCAGGCUCUGCAUCCUUGGCCGGUGCAGUCACCGACGAGGCGUUAUCCGAUGAGGAAUGUGAAACCCCCUGUACGUAUACUGAAUGUAUCCUGAGUGUAUUCCUGUCCGGUAUACCUUCAGUAUACGUAACAGGAGGCUACACCAAACAACGUUGGACUUCUUCUUCGGCGCAAUUCCCCAAUUAUCAAUAAUCUUCGUGCUAUAAAAUAUAGAACUUUAAGAAGAUAGAGAGAAUAAUAAAAAUAGAAACAGAAUAUAAUAUAUUUCAUUUACCUAAGACGCCGCAAAUUGUAUCUUGAAUGUAAUUUAAAAACUCUCACAAUCAAUGUAAUAAAUUUUGCUACAUAUGUUCAUAUACUGACAUUCGUGAAUUCAUUAAUUGUACAAAGUGUACCAAUAAAAGAAUUAUGCAUACAA